rnacentral:rRNA from 1 species
AAAACAACCCUACGGGAGGCAGCAGUGGGGAAUAUUGGACAAUGGGGGCAACCCUGAUCCAGCAAUGCCGCGUGUGUGAAGAAGGCCUGAGGGUUGUAAAGCACUUUCAGUGGGGAGGAGGUUUGUUAGGUUAAGAGCUAGACAAAUGGACGUUACCCACAGAAGAAGCACCGGCUAACUCCGUGCCAGCAGCCGCGGUAAUACGGAGGGUGCGAGCGUUAAUCGGAAUUACUGGGCGUAAAGGGUGCGUAGGUGGUAUGGUAAGUUAUCUGUGAAAUCCCUGGGCUCAACCUGGGCAGGUCAGAUAAUACUGCUGUACUCGAGUAUGGGAGAGGGUAGU